AUAGAUGGAAGGAAAAAAACCUAUGGUGACUGUGAAGGCCCUGAUGCCAUGUAUGUCAAAUUGAUAUCAUCUAGUGGUCACAAAGUUAUUGUAAAAAGAGAAUAUGCAGUAACAUCAAUAACAAUAAAGGCUAUGUUGAGUGGCCCAGGUCAGCUUGCUGAAAAUGAAAUCAGUGAGGUCAGUUUUAGAGAAAUCUCUUCACAUGUGCUAUCAAAAGUAUGCAUAUAUGUUACAUACAAUGGUCACUACACUAACAGCUCCACAGAGAUUCUCAAAUUCCCAGCUGCACCUCAAAUUGCACCAGAAUUGCUGAUGACUGUGAACUUCCUAGAUUGUUAAAUAAAU
rnacentral:lncRNA from 1 species